rnacentral:rRNA from 1 species
UCGAGAAUAAUUCACAAUGGGGGCAACCCUGAUGGUGCAACGCCGCGUGGAGGAUGAAGGUCUUCGGAUUGUAAACUCCUGUCAUCCGGGAGUAAGACCUGGCGAUGAAUAGUCGACAGGGUUGAUAGUACCGGAAGAGGAAGGGACGGCUAACUUCGUGCCAGCAGCCGCGGUAAUACGAAGGUCCCGAGCGUUGUUCGGAAUCACUGGGCGUAAAGGGAGCGUAGGCGGCGUGGCAAGUCAGACGUGAAAUCCCGGGGCUCAACCCCGGAACUGCGUCCGAUACUGCCAUGCUUUGAGGGUUGGAGAGGUAGCUGGAAUUCUUGGUGUAGCAGUGAAAUGCGUGGAUAUCAAGAGGAACACUCGUGGCGAAAGCGAGCUACUGGACAACACCUGACGCUGAGGCUCGAAGGCCAGGGGAGCGAAAGGG